rnacentral:ncRNA from 1 species
AUCAUGCAGGAGAGAGCGGCGCCAGACGCCGCCGCCGAAGGCGCAAGCGCACCCGCACAAUCGCUCAGGCAAAAGGACUGCA